CCUACGGGGGGCAGCAGUGGGGAAUAUUGGGCAAUGGGCGCAAGCCUGACCCAGCAACGCCGCGUGAAGGAAGAAGGCUUUCGGGUUGUAAACUUCCUUUGACAGGGAAGAGUAGAAGACGGUACCUGUCGAAUAAGCUACGGCUAACUACGUGCCAGCAGCCGCGGUAAUACGUAGGUGGCAAGCGUUGUCCGGAUUUACUGGGUGUAAAGGGCGUGUAGCCGGGUUGACAAGUCAGAUGUGAAAUCCUGCGGCUUAACCGCAGAACUGCAGUUGAAACUGUUGAUCUUGAGUACUGGAGAGGCAGACGGAAUUCCUAGUGUAGCGGUGAAAUGCGUAGAUAUUAGGAAGAACACCAGUGGCGAAGGCAGUCUGCUGGACAGCAACUGACGGUGAGGCGCGAAAGCGUGGGGAGCAAACAGGAUUAGAUACCCGAGUAGUC
rnacentral:rRNA from 1 species